AUUCCAUGAUGAGGGCACUUCAAUAAUAAUUCUUUAUACCUUUCCCAUGCCUUAUACAAUGACUCAUCAUCCAUUUGUUGGAAAGUAGUGAUCUCGUUCCUCAACUU
rfam:Gossypium raimondii Chr03_contig_592, whole genome shotgun sequence.